CCUACGGGAGGCAGCAGUGGGGAAUUUUCCGCAAUGGGCGAAAGCCUGACGGAGCAAUACCGCGUGAGGGAGGAAGGCUCUUGGGUUGUAAACCUCUUUUCUCAGGGAAGAUAAUGACGGUACCUGAGGAAUAAGCAUCGGCUAACUCCGUGCCAGCAGCCGCGGUAAUACGGAGGAUGCAAGCGUUAUCCGGAAUGAUUGGGCGUAAAGCGUCCGCAGGUGGUUUUGAAAGUCUGCUGUUAAAGCGUGCGGCUUAACCGCAUAAGGGCAGUGGAAACUAUGAGACUAGAGUGCGUUAGGGGCAGAGGGAAUUCCCAGUGUAGCGGUGAAAUGCGUAGAGAUUGGGAAGAACACCGGUGGCGAAGGCGCUCUGCUAUACCGUAACUGACACUGAGGGACGAAAGCUAGGGGGGCGAAUGGGAUUAGAUACCCCAGUAGUCCUAGCCGUAAACGAUGGAUACUAGGCGUUGUCUGUAUCGACCCGGACAGUGCCGUAGCUAACGCGUUAAGUAUCCCGCCUGGGGUAGUACGCGNGCGACUGUGAACUACAAGUAAGUAGUAGACGCGNGAGACGCGACGACGACGACGACGGAGGAGAG
rnacentral:rRNA from 1 species